GACGAACGCUGGCGGCGUGCUUAACACAUGCAAGUCGAACGGAAAGGCCCUGCUUUCGUGGUGCGCGAGUGGCGAACGCGUGUGUGACACGUGGGUGUUCCGCCCCGCUCUCCUGGAUAUGCUUUCGAAAAUGGGGCUAAUAUACGGUAGGAGCGCUCUUGAUGCUGGGGGUUGGAUGGUUUUUUUGGUGUAGGAUGAGCUCGCGGGCUAUUAGCUUGUUUGUGGGGUAAUGGCCUACCAAGGCGGCGACGGGUAGGUGGCCUGUGAGGGUGUACGGCCACAUUGUGGGUGAGAGACGGGGCAGACUCUUACGGGAGGCAGCAGUGGGGAAUAUUGCACAAUGGGGGCAGGCCUGAGGCAGCGACGCCGCGUGGGGGGGGAAGGCGUUCGGGGUGUAAACUCCUUUCGCUAGGGACGAGGCUCGUUUGUGACGGUACCUAGAUAAGAAGCACCGGCUAACUACGUG
rnacentral:rRNA from 1 species